rnacentral:rRNA from 1 species
GAGAUGAUCAGGUAGAUAGGUUGGAAGUGGAAGGCUAGUGAUAGUUGGAGCGGACCAAUACUAAUCGGUCGAGGACUUAACCAAA